rnacentral:rRNA from 1 species
UACGAAGGGGGCUAGCGUUGCUCGGAAUCACUGGGCGUAAAGCGCACGUAGGCGGAUCGUUAAGUCAGGGGUGAAAUCCUGGAGCUCAACUCCAGAACUGCCUUUGAUACUGGCGACCUUGAGUUCGGGAGAGGUGAGUGGAACUGCGAGUGUAGAGGUGAAAUUCGUAGAUAUUCGCAAGAACACCAGUGGCGAAGGCGGCUCACUGGCCCGAUACUGACGCUGAGGUGCGAAAGCGUGGGGAGCAACAGGG